rnacentral:rRNA from 1 species
CAUUUCUUUAAGAAAGUAAGACCCCUGAGAGAUGAUCAGGUAGAUAGGUUGGAAGUGGAAGGCUAGUGAUAGUUGGAGCGGACCAAUACUAAUCGGUCGAGGACUUAACCAAA